rnacentral:rRNA from 1 species
CACUCCUGCGGGAGGCAGCAGUGGGGAAUUUUGGACAAUGGGCGAAAGCCUGAUCCAGCCAUGCCGCGUGCAGGAUGAAGGCCUUCGGGUUGUAAACUGCUUUUGUACGGAACGAAACGGCCUUUUCUAAUAAAGAGGGCUAAUGACGGUACCGUAAGAAUAAGCACCGGCUAACUACGUGCCAGCAGCCGCGGUAAUACGUAGGGUGCAAGCGUUAAUCGGAAUUACUGGGCGUAAAGCGUGCGCAGGCGGUUAUGUAAGACAGUUGUGAAAUCCCCGGGCUCAACCUGGGAACUGCAUCUGUGACUGCAUAGCUAGAGUACGGUAGAGGGGGAUGGAAUUCCGCGUGUAGCAGUGAAAUGCGUAGAUAUGCGGAGGAACACCGAUGGCGAAGGCAAUCCCCUGGACCUGUACUGACGCUCAUGCACGAAAGCGUGGGGAGCAAACAGGAUUAGAUACCCUAGUAGCCCAUG